UGUGGUGACAAAAAUGUUUGAAUAUUCAUAUUUAAUGUUCAACAGUAACUGAAACAAGAUUUUUAAAAAAGAAAAAAGAAAAAGAAGAAGAAGGAAUCUUGGAAUGUAAUCAAUUAGUUUGCUUGAGUUUGAUGGUUUUGGAAAGCACAUCUUGAAAAUGUGCUAUUAAGAGUAAAAGAAGAAUUUUAAGAAAUAGAAAAAAAAAAAGAUGGGUUUUAUUUAAGGUUGGAAAUUAGAGAGAUGAGAAAAGUGGGGUGCCAGAAAAGGUUGGCACUUAAUAAUAGAUUGAAAGAAGAAGAAGAAGAAGAAGAGAAGAAGAAAGAAGAAAGAAGAAGGAAGAAGAUAGGGGUGUUUUUGUAAUUAAGGAGAAAUAAAUGAGGUGGGGGCUCUAGGGUUGAGAAGGGGUAUCUUGAAUGAUUUGGUGCAUGAAAAGACAAAAGAAGGGUCCCGUGAUGAAAAAAAAGGGCUAAAAUAGAAAACUUAAAUGUGUGUGGUGUGAGAUGGAAAAAAGUCUCAUUGGAAGGACAAUGGGGACAAGCUCCUUAAAUUUUAUCGUUGCCAGCUCUAAGCAUCGUAAUGGUCCAACAUAGCCUUAAUGAUCCCAUUUAAUGUGUAACUAUUACACUUGUCAAACUGAUUCAAGUUCCACAUGCCCCACUAUCUCCUCAAAACAUUUUUCACUUCCCUUUUACCCACCUUCUCAUCCAACAUUUUUCUUACCACUUUCUUUUUUAUCAAUUAUAUUAACAUUCAAAUAUACCCUCUUUUAUCAAUUCUAGAGAGAAUUAACACUCAG
rnacentral:lncRNA from 1 species